rnacentral:rRNA from 1 species
AUUGAACGCUGGCGGCAGGCCUAACACAUGCAAGUCGAACGAUGGGCGGACGGGUGAGUAAUGUCUGGGAAACUGCCUGUUGGAGGGGGUAAACAUCUGGAAACGGUAGCUAAUACCGCAUACCUUCAGAUUGGCACAGAUGGGAUUUGCUAGUUGGUGGGGUAACGGCUCACCAAGGCGACGAUCCCUAGCUGGUCUGAGAGGAGGACCAGCAACACGGGAACUGAGACACGGUCCAGACUCCUACGGGAGGCAGCAGUGGGGAAUAUUGCACAAUGGGCGCAAGCCUGAUGCAGCCAUGCCGCGUGUAUGAAGAAGGCCUUCGGGUUGUAAAGUACUUUCAGCGGGGAGGCGUUACCCGCAGAAGAAGCACCGGCUAACUCCGUGCCAGCAGCCGCGGUAAUUC